CCUACGGGCGGCAGCAGUGAGGAAUAUUGGUCAAUGGACGAGAGUCUGAACCAGCCAAGUAGCGUGAAGGAUGACUGCCCUAUGGGUUGUAAACUUCUUUUAUAUGGGAAUAAAAUGUUCCACGUGUGGGUUUUUGUAUGUACCAUAUGAAUAAGGAUCGGCUAACUCCGUGCCAGCAGCCGCGGUAAUACGGAGGAUCCGAGCGUUAUCCGGAUUUAUUGGGUUUAAAGGGAGCGUAGGUGGAUUGUUAAGUCAGUGGUGAAAGUUUGGGGCUCAACCGUAAAAUUGCAGUUGAAACUGGCAGUCUUGAGUACAGUAGAGGUGGGCGGAAUUCGUGGUGUAGCGGUGAAAUGCUUAGAUAUCACGAAGAACUCCGAUUGCGAAGGCAGCUCACUGGACUGCAACUGACACUGAGGCUCGAAAGUGUGGGUAUCAAACAGGAUUAGAUACCCCUGUAGUC
rnacentral:rRNA from 1 species